GGGAAGUGGGGUAAAAAUCUGAGGAUUGGCCCUACUUUGAGUAGGGGUUUGGCCUAGAUGAUCUCCUGAGGUCCCUUCCAACCCUAAUAUUCUAUGAA